UUAGUAACGGCGAGUGAACCGGGAAAAGCUCAAAUUUGAAAUCUGCCAACAGGCCGAGUUGUAAUUUGUAGAUGGCUACACUGCAUAAUAGUAGAUGCUCAAGUUCUUUGGAAAAAGACAUCAUGGAGGGUGACAAUCCCGUGAGGCAUGUUACUAGGAGCAUAUAGUGGGCUUUCUAAGAGUCGAGUUGUUUGGGAAUGCAGCUCAAAGUGCGUGGUGAAUACCAUGUAAAGCUAAAUAUGGACGAGAGACCGAUAGCGAACAAGUACUGUGAAGGAAAGAUGAAAAGCACUCCGAAAGGAGAGUGAAAUAGUACGUGAAAUUGUUAAAGUGGAAGGGCUUGAGAUCAGAAUUGGUAGUUUGGGUUCCACGUCCUCUUGGGGGCGUGUACUCCCUUUCCACCGGGCCAGCGGGAGUUUCGUCUCUUGGGUAAAAGCAGUGGAAUGUAGCAGCUUGUCUGUAUUAUAGCCUCUGUUCAUACAAGACGUCGAGACU
rnacentral:rRNA from 1 species